CCUACGGGCGGCAGCAGUGAGGAAUAUUGGUCAAUGGACGAGAGUCUGAACCAGCCAAGUAGCGUGAAGGAUGACUGCCCUAUGGGUUGUAAACUUCUUUUAUAUGGGAAUAAAAUGUUCCACGUGUGGGCUUUUGUAUGUACCAUAUGAAUAAGGAUCGGCUAACUCCGUUCCAGCCGCCGCGGUAAUACGGAGGAUCCGAUCGUUAUCCGGAUUUAUUGUGUUUAAAGGGAGCGUAGAUGGGUUGUUAAGUUAGUUGUGAAAGUUUGCGGCUCAACCGUAAAAUUGCAAUUGAUACUGGCAGUCUUGAGUACAGUUGAGGUAGGCGGAAUUCGAGGUGUAGCGGUGAAAUGCGUAGAUAUCACGAAGAACUCCGAUUGCGAAGGCAGCUUACUAAACUGCCACUGACAUUGAUGCUCGAAAGUGUGGGUAUCAAACAGGAUUAGAUACCCGUGUAGUC
rnacentral:rRNA from 1 species